AUUGAACGCUGGCGGCAGGCUUAACACAUGCAAGUCGAGCGGGGGAAGGUAGCUUGCUACCGGACCUAGCGGCGGACGGGUGAGUAAUGCUUAGGAAUCUGCCUAUUAGUGGGGGACAACAUCUCGAAAGGGAUGCUAAUACCGCAUACGUCCUACGGGAGAAAGCAGGGGAUCUUCGGACCUUGCGCUAAUAGAUGAGCCUAAGUCGGACUAGCUAGUUGGUGGGGUAAAGGCCUACCAAGGCGACGAUCUGUAGCGAGUCUGAGAGGAUGAUCCGCCACACUGGGACUGAGACACGGCCCAGACUCCUACGGGAGGCAGCAGUGGGGAAUAUUGGACAAUGGGGGGAACCCUGAUCCAGCCAUGCCGCGUGUGUGAAGAAGGCCUUAUGGUUGUAAAGCACUUUAAGCGAGGAGGAGGCUACUCUAGUUAAUACCUAGGGAUAGUGGACGUUACUCGCAGAAUAAGCUCCGGCUAACUCUGUGCCAGCCGCCGCAGUAA
rnacentral:rRNA from 1 species